GCCCGCCACUUCCUUUCAGGGCCUACGGCAGCCGUAGGGCCCCAACACCAAGCAGGGCUUGAGGGUUGAAAUGACGCUCGAACAGGCAUGCCCGCUAGAGUACUAGCGGGCGCAAUGUGCGUUCAAAGAUUCGAUGAUUCACUGAAUUCUGCAAUUCACAUUACUUAUCGCAUUUCGCUGCGUUCUUCAUCGAUGCUCGUCUGACCAG
rnacentral:misc_RNA from 1 species